AACGAACGCUGGCAGCAGGCUUAACACAUGCAAGUCGAGCGCCCCGCAAGGGGAGCGGCAGACGGGUGAGUAACGCGUGGGAACGUACCUUUUGGUUCGGAACAACUCCGGGAAACUGGAGCUAAUACCGGAUAAGCCCUAACGGGGAAAGAUUUAUCGCCAAAAGAUCGGCCCGCGUCUGAUUAGCUAGUUGGUGAGGUAACGGCUCACCAAGGCGACGAUCAGUAGCUGGUCUGAGAGGAUGAUCAGCCACACUGGGACUGAGACACGGCCCAGACUCCUACGGGAGGCAGCAGUGGGGAAUAUUGGACAAUGGGCGCAAGCCUGAUCCAGCCAUGCCGCGUGAGUGAUGAAGGCCUUAGGGUUGUAAAGCUCUUUUGUCCGGGAAGAUAAUGACUGUACCGGAAGAAUAAGCCCCGGCUAACUUCGUG
rnacentral:rRNA from 1 species